GAUGAAGAACGUAGCGAAAUGCGAUAAGUAAUGUGAAUUGCAGAAUUCCGUGAAUCAUCGAAUCUUUGAACGCACAUUGCGCCCCCUGGUAUUCCGGGGGGCAUGCCUGUCCGAGCGUCAUUGCAACCUUCAAGCGCGGCUUGUGUGUUGGGUCUCGUCCCCCGUGGACGGGCCCGAAAGGCAGUGGCGGCGUCCCGACAUGGUGCCCGAGCGUAUGGAAUCCUCUUCCGCUCGAAUCGGCCCAUGCGGCGCUGGUCGUAACCAAAUUUUUUACCGGUUGACCUCGGAUCAGGUAGGGAUACCCGCUGAACUUAAGCAUAUCAAUAAGCGGAGGA
rnacentral:misc_RNA from 1 species